CAUGUCCUUUUGAGUAUAAUUUAAGGUCUGACCUGCCCGAUGAGUAGUUCAAUGGCCGCGAUAUUUUGAUCGUGCGAAGGUAGCAUAAUCAUUAGUUCCUUAAUUGGGAGCUGGUAUGAAUGGUUGGACGAGGGAGAAACUGUCUCAGGUUAAAUUAAUUAGAAUUUUAUUUUUAAGUAAAAAAGCUUAAAUGUUGUUUAAAGACGAGAAGACCCUAUAGAGUUUUAUAUUUUUUUAUAUAUUUGAAUAGAGGAAUUUAAUUUCUUUUGUUUAUUUAAGUAUUUGGUUGGGGCGACAGGAAAAUUAGAUAAACUUUUUCUUAUUGAUAAUAUUGAUUAAUAGAUUUUUGAUCCGUUUUUUACGAUUAUAAGAUUAAAUUACCUUAGGGAUAACAGCGUAAUCUUUCUAAAGAGUUCUUAUCGAAAGAGAGGAUUGCGACCUCGAUGUUGGAUUAAAGUUAAUUUUUGGUGCAGAAGCUGAAAUAUUAAGUCUGUUCGACUUUUAAAACUUUACAUGAUCUGAGU
rnacentral:rRNA from 1 species